rnacentral:lncRNA from 1 species
AUCAGCCAUGAACGGAUGGGUGUAAUGCCUGCUGGCUCAAAGGGGUCCUUCCGUGUGUUGCGGUCUUGUGGCGUUCUGCAGGCCCCCUGCCAGUGACCCCAGGCUUUUUAUGGCUGUGAGACUCAUUAAAAGCUCAGGGGUGAGAAGUGACCUUUUGAGGUGACUAUAACUGAAGAGUGAAUUACAGAAGCCCCCCCAAAAAAAACAAAAACAAAAAAACAAAAAAAAGGUAAAAUCAUACAUAAAUGCUAGACUUGCAUAUAAAACUAUUUCAACCUUUGGGGUGUGGG